rnacentral:rRNA from 1 species
CGGGGUGCAGCGGGCGCGAAACCUUCGCAAUGCGCGAAAGCGUGACGAGGCUAGUCCGAGUGCUUCCUGCUAAAGGGAGCUUUUCUCGGCUGUAAAUAGGCCGGGGAAUAAGGGGAGGGCAAGUCUGGUGUCAGCCGCCGCGGUAAUACCAGCUCCUCGAGUGGUCGGGACGAUUAUUGGGCCUAAAGCACCCGUAGCCGGUUCCGUAAGUCCUCUGUUAAAUCCAGUCGCUCAACGGCUGGUCUGCAGAGGAUACUGCGGGACUAGGAGGCGGGAGAGGCGGACGGUACUCCGCGUGUAGGGGUAAAAUCCUUUGAUCCGCGGAAGACCACCAGUGGCGAAGGCGGUCUGCCAGAACGCGCUCGACGGUGAGGGGUGAAAGCUGGGGGAGCGAACCGGAUUAGAUACCCGGGUAGUCCCAGCCGUAAACGAUGCGAGCUAGGUGAUUCGAUCGCAGUUCGCGAUCGAAGUGUCGCAGGGAAGCCGUUAAGCUCGCCGCCUGGGGAGUACGGUCGCAAGGCUGGAUCGUAAAGGAAUUGGCGGGGGAGCAC